rnacentral:rRNA from 1 species
UACGUAGGGACCAAGCGUUGUUCGGAUUUACUGGGCGUAAAGGGCGCGUAGGCGGCGUGUUAAGUCACUUGUGAAAUCUCUAAGCUUAACUUAGAACGGUCAAGUGAUACUGAUGUGCUAGAGUGCAGAAGGGGCAACCGGAAUUCUUGGUGUAGCGGUGAAAUGCGUAGAUAUCAAGAGGAACACCUGAGGUGAAGACGGGUUGCUGGGCUGACACUGACGCUGAGGCGCGAAAGCUAAGGUAGCAAACGGG